rnacentral:rRNA from 1 species
UACGGAGGAUGCAAGCGUUAUCCGGAAUUAUUGGGCGUAAAGAGUCCGUAGGUGGUCAGACAAGUCUGCCGUCAAAGCAUGGAGCUUAACUCCAUCAAGGCGGUGGAAACUGUAAGACUAGAGUCUAGGAGGGGUAGAGGGAAUUCCCAGUGUAGCGGUGAAAUGCGUAGAGAUUGGGAAGAACACCGGUGGCGAAAGCGCUCUACUGGACUAGAACUGACACUGAGGGAAGAAAGCUAGGGUAGCGAAAGGG